rnacentral:rRNA from 1 species
UAGGGAAUCUUCCACAAUGGGCGCAAGCCUGAUGGAGCAACACCGCGUGAGUGAAGAAGGGUUUCGGCUCGUAAAGCUCUGUUGUUAAAGAAGAACACGUAUGAGAGUAACUGUUCAUACGUUGACGGUAUCUAACCAGAAAGCCACGGCUAACUACGUGCCAG